UACGAAGGGUGCAAACGUUGCUCGGAAUUAUUGGGCGUAAAGCGCACGUAGGCGGCUUUGUGUGUCGGAUGUGAAAUCCCUCGGCUCAACCAAGGAAGUGCAUUCGAAACUGCAAAGCUUGAGUACUUAAGAGGAUCGCGGAAUUCCCGGUGUAGAGGUGAAAUUCGUAGAUAUCGGGAGGAACACCGGUGGCGAAGGCGGCUCACUGGCUCAUAUCUGACGCUCAGGCGCGACAGCGUGGGGAUCAAACAGG
rnacentral:rRNA from 1 species